rnacentral:rRNA from 1 species
ACUAUGCUUGGCCCUAAACCUCAAUAGUUAAAAUAACAAAACUAUUCGCCAGAAUACUACAAGCAACAGCUUAAAACUCAAAGGACUUGGCGGUGCUUCAUACCCCCUAGAGGAGCCUGUUCUGUAAUCGAUAAACCCCGAUCCACCCCACCCUCUCUUGCUUAGUCUAUAUACCGCCAUCUUCAGCAAACCCUGAUGAAGGCUACGAAGUGAGCGCAAAUGCCCUCCCCCGCAAAAACGUUAGGUCAAGGUGUAACUUAUGAGACGGUAAAAAUGGGCUACAUUUUCUACUUCAGAAAACCCCACGAUAGCUCUUAUGAAAUCUAGGAGCCCAAGGAGGAUUUAGCAGUAAAUUAAGAAUAGAGUGCUUAAUUGAACUAGGCCAUAAAGCACGCACACACCGCCCGUCACUCCCCUCAAAUAUAUUUAAGGAAUAACUUAACUAAAUGCCCUAACAUUUAUAUAGAGGGGAUAAGUCGUAACACGGUAAGUGUACUGGAAGGUGCACUUGGAUAAAU